GAACGCGAAGAACCUUACCUGGUCUUGACAUGUACGGAAUCCUCCAGAGACGGAGGAGUGCCUUCGGGAGCCGUAACACAGGUGCUGCAUGGCUGUCGUCAGCUCGUGUCGUGAGAUGUUGGGUUAAGUCCCGCAACGAGCGCAACCCUUGUCAUUAGUUGCCAUCAUUAAGUUGGGCACUCUAAUGAGACUGCCGGUGACAAGCCGGAGGAAGGUGGGGAUGACGUCAAGUCCUCAUGGCCCUUAUGACCAGGGCUUCACACGUCAUACAAUGGUCGGUACAGAGGGUAGCCAAGCCGCGAGGUGGAGCCAAUCUCACUAAAACCGAUCGUAGUCCGGAUUGCACUCUGCAACUCGAGUGCAUGAAGUCGGAAUCGCUAGUAAUCGCAGGUCAGCAUACUGCGGUGAAUACGUUCCCGGGUCUUGUACACACC
rnacentral:rRNA from 1 species